rnacentral:lncRNA from 7 species
UUUGCUGCUUUACUGUGUAUGAUAGAAACUUUUCAACAACUUCAUUGCCUACCUGAGUUUGUCUGACAGAAUUGCCAGCCUUGUGGAUGAGAAGCAAGCAUUGGAUGUGAUACAUCUUGACACAGCUUUUGAGACAAACUACUUGGUUAUUCUCAAGAGCAAGAUGAGAAUACAUGGUCUGGAUAAAAUUAGAAAUAAAUUUUAGACUUUAUUAAAGACUAUGUACCAAUAACUCAAUGUUAAACUAAGUACCUUAAGCAAGGUCUCACUGAGACUUUUCAUGAGCACUGUUCAACAAUUUCAUUAAUGGCUUGGAUGGUGAGAAACAUAGUACACUUCUUUAAUCUUUAUGCACUGCUUCCUUGGGAAGAAUUGCAAGGAUGCUGGAAGACAGUAUUAUGUCUUAUAUCGAUACAAAAAAAAUUCAGUGAAGGGUGACUAAGUCUGGAUCAAAGGAGAAGGGGACAGACUAACAUCAGAAGAGAAUGGCAAACUGCUCCUUCUCCACAGAUGAAAGAGAAAAAUAAGUCUGAAUCCAAGGCAUAACACCAUUAUAAACAUCAAAAAACAUAUUAUUCAGCUGUUUCUCUACUGUGAGUGGUAUUAGCGGAGUCUCCCUUAAACUUCGGUAUAGUACAGGGCAUUGAUUAAAUGUCUUUCUGUCCUUACCUAUCAAAUUUUCAUUGCAUUUUUUCAAUUAUAGAUUCCACAUACGUUUCCUAUACGUAUUCCACAUACGUUAUCCUUUCCUAAAUGCCUUUUAAAGCAGACUCCAUAUCUUUAGUAUUUUUUGUGUUCUGAAUUUGCAAACCAAAUUGGAUUUUCUCUGUAGAGAUGUUUUCCUCUGUAAUCCUGGAGAUUUUUCCUUUUCAGCCUCCUUAUAAUGAAAGAGUAAAACUGAGUAUCAUUAGCUAAAAUAGCACAAAAUUUAUAUGAAAAUAUCACUAUAAUUGCCAUCAGUUAUAAAGGAAAAAAUAGUUUUUGUAUUCUAGGAAUGAUAGUAAAAGUAAAGAAAUUUUUGUUCUGUAUCUGUAUUACGUUCUUGUUUCCCAUAUUCUCCCUUUGUAGAAAUAGAUGGAAACAUGAUUUUCACCAUAAAAGUAUCCAGAUUGACCAUAGUAUCACUGAUAGUCUAUGGCUUUCCUCAGAAGGAAAAUUCUGAAACCUUGGGGUGUUAUAUAUGAAGUACUGUUUAUAUCAACAACAAAAUUACCAGGUUUGCCAUAGUGUCCAUAACUUCUUUGAGAGCAACUGACUGUCCUUUCCUCUGUUUAGCUACAUAGUGACAAAUUUCACAGUUCCCCAAUGAAAUCCACUUUCUGUGUUUCUUUUUCCUGCAGUCUCCUUUCCUUCCUGAAUGUAUGCAAAAUGGUUAUUUUCUGGUUCUCACUUUCCUAUCUCUUUGAACUGUACAUACAACUAGCUAAUUGCCUCUGUGUUCUCUUUCAGUUCUAGAUCUUUUAUGGGAGCUUGCUAGCCACCUAAAAAUUUUAUCUCCAGUAUUAACAUCGCCUACUAUUCAUCUUACAGAAUGUUCUUGAACGUUGUUAAUUAGGUGUCUCUUAUAAACAUUUGUUUUAACUGAUCAGUUAAAUAUUAACCUAGAUUACUGUACAACUGCUCAUGUAUUCUCAGAUUCUAUAGCUACUAUGUUCAAAUGUUUCAGAUUUGCCAUUACUUGUUUUGUUUAUGCCUGCAAACAAAAACAAAGCUUGCAGUAUACAAGUUGCUAUGAUCUAAGAUUGUCCUAAGGUCCCAGUGAUAGUAUGGUUCUACAUCAAUCUAAUCGGGAUCAUGGGAACUGGUCUUAUAAAAGACCUGCUCUGUUGACUAUUCCUGUUGCCCUGAUUUACAAGUAUCGUUUGAAAGUUUUCCUUCAUGUUUUCUGGACUAUUUCCCAUGAAUACUCCUAAGUUUCCCUGAUUGAGUUUCACUGUUGAAGACUACUUCUGGAGGUUUCUUCCAGCUUCCUAUAAUAUGAUGGGGCGCUUCCUAUAAUACGAUGGGGCACUUCCUGCAUUAAAAUACAAAGUCUUAUCUCACAAUGAUCAAAUCAGACAUAGAUUUUGAAAAAAUGAAUCUCACUGGUCCACAUGCACACAUGCACACACAACAGAAAAAAAAAAAAAAAAACUAGCAAAACUCCGGUGAACUUUUUAAAUUAAUUUCAUAGAUGAGGAAGAUGCACAAGUUGAUAGGAAUAACCUAAUUGUAAAUUGGCUAAUUGACCAAAUGAAUGACUGUUUACUGCUUUCCAUUUCAAAUAUUGCUUUGAUCAUUGUGUGCGAAAAUAGCACGAUUUAUUUUAGUAUCCAAGUUUAUCAGAAUGGAAUGUCUUGCUUUGAACAAAAUUAAAUGAAGAUUUUAUUUACUGAGAUAUCACAAUUCCUGCCUUGAAUUCACUUACAAAUGUUCCAUUCCAUAAAUAAUGAAGAUGGUGUGCCUUUAAGUUUUAUUAAGUUACUAAUAAUAGAUGGGAUUGGCUUUGAACUGUGUGAAACAAUCAUGAGGCAGUGAAGAUGAUGAGGUCAGCACAAUAUUUCAGAACCCAGGGCUUUUAUGUAGAUGCAUUGAGAUUAUUUCAGCAUUAGUAUUUUAUAAUAAAGUUGCUUCUGAAAACAAAUAUUUGUUUUCAGUGAAACAUAAAUUUCUAAUAAAAACUUACUUGUUUUUUGUUC